rnacentral:lncRNA from 1 species
CCGCAUCCAUAGUCUCUCAAAAUAAGGCGCCCAACCUUUAUUUCAUAUACUAUAGACUAUUUAGGCUAUAUACUCGAACUUGAUCCACGUUUAUGUUUACACAUAAAGUUCAAGUUUAUUCAAAAAAUAGCCUUGGAACUUGAUUUAUUGGAUUUAAGAUUAUAAUAUUUAAUUUCUCAAUAACAACUUUAUUGAAUAGAAUAUGAUUUACAAACUACAAGUUUUAGGACAAAAAAUUCCAACAGACACCUAGUACAACCAACAUUUACUAGCUCUACAAUGUAGUAGUGGGGCCUACCCAACACUUACAACAAAAUCUAACAUGUGUGCACACGAUACUAUAUAGACUCAGGCUCAACAUCUUAGUCAUGUAGUUAACAUAAAUCUUAAAAGGCCAUAUGAAAACAUUAAAACAUGUCUGUUAUCUUUAUCCUUCGUAAAACUUAAGCUUACUCAGAUUGUUCGUGGAAAAACUGAAAAUCUAAAAGCAUUAAAAUGAUAUUGUUUCAACUACUCUUCAGAAAGUCGAUAAUAACGUGCUCACAUAUAAGUUUCAUCAUAAAACCUAAGCUUGAAACUGUGGCUUGAAACUGUUCAUAGAAAUCAUGUAUUGUUCAUAAAAUCGAUUCAAACAAAGAUACAUAAUCAUAGAUAACAGUUUAGAAAUAUGUUUUGUCACACACAACCUUAGGCUAGUUUCCUAGUGUUUAGACAUAGCCUGUUAAACAAACCAAAAUUGAUUGUCAGAUCCUUAUAUAAUCUUGUAUCUUUAUAACAAACUUAAGAUGACGCACAAAAUAUGACAUUCAUCAAUUCUAAACUUAGAUAUAAAAGAACAUUUCAUAAUUUUCCCCGACAUUUUUCAUAUUCAACAACCUAACUUCAAACAUUUAUAACUUUCUCCAUACUUGACAAAUUAAUGUUCUUUAUAUCCUUAUGGCGAACCCAAACCGAAGAGACAACAUCUAUAAAAGAUGAAUCCUCAACCCAAUGGUUAAAGAAAUGAAACGAUACCAACCUCCGUCUCUGCUGAAAGUUAGGAUAGUAUAAAAUAGGGGAAUGGUAAGAAAUGCCCCAAGGAAAAACAUUAACUCUCGAUCUUGUUCAAGCAGCAAGCCAGUCAUCAUUUUUUAAAAAGUAAUAUUAUUAUAAAACAACAAUGAUGAGAAUCAUGAUGUUUCAUACGGACCAAUUACAAGAUCGAAGGCAUCAAAGAUUAAUCAAUCAUUCAUUCUCCAUGUACAAUAAUGGAUAAGGGCGGUUCAUCCUCAAUUUUAAGUGCCACGUACUGACACAAGAGAUGAAGGAUCAUUUGGACUAUUGAAUGUCAAUGUUUUCUCAGUUGAAGCAGACUAUAGGGUAGACAUUCAGCUUCCAUGAAGCCAACAAUUUGAAGACCUAAUGAUUUACUUAAUAUCGCAUUUACUUUUUAUUGUAUUUUCAUUUGUUUUAAUUUGACAAGUUAGUGUAACUACCAUUAAUAGCUUUGUAUUAAAUAUAGUGGUUGGAACAAAGUUGUUGGAAGAUAGAAAGCUUGAAACGUUUUCUUUUGACAUUUUCAUUACUUAGGACAAAAUCUCAACAAGGC